rnacentral:rRNA from 1 species
GAUGAACGCUGGCGGCGUGCCUAAUACAUGCAAGUCGAGCGAACGGACGAGAAGCUUGCUUCUCUGAUGUUAGCGGCGGACGGGUGAGUAACACGUGGAUAACCUACCUAUAAGACUGGGAUAACUUCGGGAAACCGGAGCUAAUACCGGAUAAUAUUUUGAACCGCAUGGUUCAAAAGUGAAAGACGGUCUUGCUGUCACUUAUAGAUGGAUCCGCGCUGCAUUAGCUAGUUGGUAAGGUAACGGCUUACCAAGGCAACGAUGCAUAGCCGACCUGAGAGGGUGAUCGGCCACACUGGAACUGAGACACGGUCCAGACUCCUACGGGAGGCAGCAGUAGGGAAUCUUCCGCAAUGGGCGAAAGCCUGACGGAGCAACGCCGCGUGAGUGAUGAAGGUCUUCGGAUCGUAAAACUCUGUUAUUAGGGAAGAACAUAUGUGUAAGUAACUGUGCACAUCUUGACGGUACCUAAUCAGAAAGCCACGGCUAACUACGUGCCAGCAGCCGCGGUAAUACGUAGGUGGCAAGCGUUAUCCGGAAUUAUUGGGCGUAAAGCGCGCGUAGGCGGUUUUUUAAGUCUGAUGUGAAAGCCCACGGCUCAACCGUGGAGGGUCAUUGGAAACUGGAAAACUUGAGUGCAGAAGAGGAAAGUGGAAUUCCAUGUGUAGCGGUGAAAUGCGCAGAGAUAUGGAGGAACACCAGUGGCGAAGGCGACUUUCUGGUCUGUAACUGACGCUGAUGUGCGAAAGCGUGGGGAUCAAACAGGAUUAGAUACCCUGGUAGUCCACGCCGUAAACGAUGAGUGCUAAGUGUUAGGGGGUUUCCGCCCCUUAGUGCUGCAGCUAACGCAUUAAGCACUCCGCCUGGGGAGUACGACCGCAAGGUUGAAACUCAAAGGAAUUGACGGGGACCCGCACAAGCGGUGGAGCAUGUGGUUUAAUUCGAAGCAACGCGAAGAACCUUACCAAAUCUUGACAUCCUUUGACAACUCUAGAGAUAGAGCCUUCCCCUUCGGGGGACAAAGUGACAGGUGGUGCAUGGUUGUCGUCAGCUCGUGUCGUGAGAUGUUGGGUUAAGUCCCGCAACGAGCGCAACCCUUAAGCUUAGUUGCCAUCAUUAAGUUGGGCACUCUAAGUUGACUGCCGGUGACAAACCGGAGGAAGGUGGGGAUGACGUCAUAUCAUCAUGCCCCUUAUGAUUUGGGCUACACACGUGCUACAAUGGACAAUACAAAGGGCAGCGAAACCGCGAGGUCAAGCAAAUCCCAUAAAGUUGUUCUCAGUUCGGAUUGUAGUCUGCAACCCGACUACAUGAAGCUGGAAUCGCUAGUAAUCGUAGAUCAGCAUGCUACGGUGAAUACGUUCCCGGGUCU